rnacentral:rRNA from 1 species
UACGGGGGGGGCAAGCGUUGUUCGGAAUUACUGGGCGUAAAGGGCUCGUAGGUGGCCAACUAAGUCGGACGUGAAAUCCCCAGGCUCAACUUGGGAACUGCGUCUGAUACUGGAUGGCUUGAAUCCGGGAGAGGGAUGCAGAAUUCCAGGUGUAGCGGUGAAAUGCGUAGAUAUCUGGAGGAAUACCGGUGGCGAAGGCGGCAUCCUGGACCGGGAUUGACACUGAGGAGCGAAAGCUAGGGGAGCAAACGGG